rnacentral:rRNA from 1 species
GAUGAACGCUAGCGAUAGGCUUAACACAUGCAAGUCGAGGGGCAGCAUGGUCUUAGCUUGCUAAGGCUGAUGGCGACCGGCGCACGGGUGCGUAACGCGUAUGCAACUUGCCUCACAGAGGGGGAUAACCCGUCGAAAGACGGACUAAUACCGCGUACACUCUAUGUUGGGCAUCCAAUGUAGAGGAAAUGAAAUUCGCUGUGAGAUAGGCAUGCGUCCCAUUAGCUAGUUGGUGAGGUAACGGCUCACCAAGGCGACGAUGGGUAGGGGAACUGAGAGGUUGACCCCCCACACUGGUACUGAGACACGGACCAGACUCCUACGGGAGGCAGCAGUGAGGAAUAUUGGUCAAUGGGCGAGAGCCUGAACCAGCCAAGUCGCGUGAAGGAUGACUGUCUUAUGGAUUGUAAACUUCUUUUAUACGGGAAUAACAAGAGUCACGUGUGGCUCCCUGCAUGUACCGUAUGAAUAAGCAUCGGCUAACUCCGUG